CAGUCGCCGCGGUAAUACGUAGGGUGCGAGCGUUAAUCGGAAUUACUGGGCGUAAAGCGUGCGCAGGCGGUUUUGUAAGACAGGCGUGAAAUCCCCGGGCUCAACCUGGGAAUGGCGCUUGUGACUGCAAAGCUAGAGUGCGGCAGAGGGGGAUGGAAUUCCGCGUGUAGCAGUGAAAUGCGUAGAUAUGCGGAGGAACACCGAUGGCGAAGGUAAUCCCCUGGGCCUGCACUGACGCUCAUGCACGAAAGCGUGGGGAGCAAACAGGAUUAGAUACCCCCGUAGUCCCUGUCUCUUAUAC
rnacentral:rRNA from 1 species